ACGGAGUAGACUAACAGGAUUCCCCUAGUAACUGCGAGUGAAGCGGGAAAAGCUCAAAUUUAAAAUCUGGCAGUCUUUGGCUGUCCGAGUUGUAAUCUAGAGAAGCAUUAUCCGCGUUGGACUGUGUACAAGUCUCCUGGAAUGGAGCCUCAUAGAGGGUGAGAAUCCCGUCUUCGACACAGACUGCCAGGGCUUUUGUGAUAUGCUCUCAAAGAGUCGAGUUGUUUGGGAAUGCAGCUCGAAAUGGGUGGUAAAUUCCAUCUAAAGCUAAAUAUUGGCGAGAGACCGAUAGCGAACAAGUACCGUGAGGGAAAGGUGAAAAGAACUUUGGAAAGAGAGUUAAACAGUACGUGAAAUUGCUGAAAGGGAAACGCUUGAAGUCAGUCAUGUUGGCCAGGGAUCAACCUUGCUAUUUUGCUUGGCUUACUUUCUGGUCAAUGGGUCAGCAUCAAUUUUGGCUGGUGGAAAAAGUUCAAGGGAAUGUGGCAUCCUUGGAUGUGUUAUAGCCUUUGUUCGCAUACAUCAGUUGAGAUUGAGGAACGCAGCACGCCGAAAGGUCGGGUUUUUAACCACGUUCGUGCUUAGGAUGCUGGCAUAAUGGCUUUAAUCGACCCGUCUUGAAACACGGACCAAGGAGUCUAACAUGCCUGCAAGUGUUUGAGUGGAAAACUCGAGCGCAUAAUGAAAGUGAAAGUUGAGAUCCCUGUCAUGGGGAGCAUCGACGCCCGGAUCUGACCUUUUGUGACGAUUCCGCGGUAGCGCAUGUAUGUUGGGACCCGAAAGAUGGUGAACUAUGCCUGAAUAGGGUGAAGCCAGAGGAAACUCUGGUGGAGGCUCGUAGCGAUUCUGACGUGCAAAUCGAUCGUCAAAUUUGGGUAUAGGGGCGAAAGACUAAUCGAACCAUCUAGUAGCUGGGUUCCUGCCGAGUUUCCCUCAGAAUCU
rnacentral:rRNA from 1 species